CCUACGGGAGGCAGCAGUGGGGAAUUUUGGACAAUGGGGGCAACCCUGAUCCAGCAAUGCCGCGUGAGUGAAGAAGGCCUUCGGGUUGUAAAGCUCUUUUGUCAGGGAAGAAACGGGUGGGGCUAAUAUCCUCAUCUAAUGACGGUACCUGAAGAAUAAGCACCGGCUAACUACGUGCCAGCAGCCGCGGUAAUACGUAGGGUGCAAGCGUUAAUCGGAAUUACUGGGCGUAAAGCGUGCGCAGGCGGUUAUGUAAGUCAGAUGUGAAAUCCCCGGGCUCAACCUGGGAACUGCAUUUGAGACUGCAUGGCUAGAGUGUGUCAGAGGGGGGUAGAAUUCCACGUGUAGCAGUGAAAUGCGUAGAUAUGUGGAGGAAUACCGAUGGCGAAGGCAGCCCCCUGGGAUAACACUGACGCUCAUGCACGAAAGCGUGGGGAGCAAACAGGAUUAGAUACCCUGGUAGUCCACGCCCUAAACGAUGUCUACUAGUUGUCGGGACUUAAUUGUCUUGGUAACGCAGCUAACGCGUGAAGUAGACCGCCUGGGGAGGUACGGUCGCGAGAGUAAACGUACGAAGUAGAGUAGAGNGNGAGAGNGCGAGACGACGACGAGGGAGAGG
rnacentral:rRNA from 1 species